GGGCUCACUUCAGCCACACACAUACUAAAAUUGGAAUAAUCCAGAGAAGAUAAGCAUGACCCCUGUGCAAGGAUGACAAGCAUAUUGUGAAGUGUUCCAUAUUUUA